GCUUUUGAAAAUUGCUUUUGCGGAACGCGGCUGAAAACACGGAAGCUUUAAUGAAAGUUAACCGAACCACCUAUUUUGUCCUCGUCCUUUUCUAAAAUUUACACUGAACCCAGACAUUUUUCUUCUUCUGUGCGAGGCAAAACCAUCGCACUCUCCUCCUCUUCCUCCCUUCGCCGUCAAAAACUUGAGCAUGAUUCAUACUCAUCGGAAGAGAUCGAGAGAGGGCGCUGACAUUUUUUUCCCUCUCAGCCUCUCUCCUCGACCAUCGAGGCAUCGACGGCCCUCGCUCUCCUCGAUGGUAACUCGGUGACGGACUGCAGUCGAAUAGUUGAUCGAUCUGUCUGGGUUUUACUUUCUGGGUUUUCAAUCAGUCUCUCUUGGUUGCUCUCUUCCUCAAGCAGCAAAGCAGAAAUUCUUGGUUGCUUUCUGGGUUCGAUUUCUGAUUCUUCAAGCUUAAAGUCCCUUUUUGAAACUCUUGGAAUGGUACACGCCCCGUUCGCUUUACUUCCGAUGCCCUUUCCAGAAACUCAGUUGAAUCAAGCAAAUGAGUUAGCCCCCAUAUUCAAUGAACUUGUUGAUCGAGUGAGUUUGGAUGCAAAAUUUCUGCAGGAUUCAUUGUCCAGAAAUUGAUGCUGAGGCGGAGCUUUUACCAGAUGGAACACUUGUUUUGUAUGUACCUUUACUCCUAUUUAUCGAUUAAAGAAGAAUGAGAUGUUCUUUCUCAUGGUGAAUAUCUGUUCAGUAGCAAAAGGAGGCAGCUGUUUUGAUUGGCUAUUCUCAAGUGUAUAAAGGCUUGUGUAUUGAUGUGCUUCUUUUGUGGGUCACUUUAGUUGGCUUAUCCUGCAAUGUGCUAUUAAGUACUAUUCCUUACUCUUUAAGCUCACAGUCAUGUUAAUGCUGCCUUGAUUUGGUAUAUCUGAUUUGGAAGAUAUACUCAACGAGAUCUUGAUUUUGAUGAACGUGUAAAUUACUCAAGUGAAGAGAUAGAGGACAAUGAACAUGAAGGAGAUGAUCCGGGAAGACAAGAAAUGGAGGGUGUUAAGAAAUACAAUUGCACAAAGUCUAAUGAAUGCAUCUACUUAGCAUUUAGUUGCAAAUUUCAAGUAACUUUAAUAAUUUUGUGUAAUGGUUCCCGUUGAACUAUGGUCGGGAAAUUAAUCCAAAUAUUCUAGACUUAUUUUGUGUAAUAGUAAAACAUAAUAUGCAUAUUGAAGGGUUUAAAGUAAAUCUUUUAUUUGGUCCAA